rnacentral:tRNA from 1 species
AUCAGCAUAGUUCAGUUGGUUAGAACACCUGCUUCAUACGCAGAUGGUCAAUGGUUCAAAUCCAUUUGCUGAUACCA